rnacentral:lncRNA from 1 species
UAUCAAACAUUUGACUUUUUGCUUCAUGUGUUAGGAGAGCCCCUGGCAAGUUCACAUUUAAUUACAGGCUGUUCUCUGGCCACAGUCCUGUGAGCUAGGAUUUCAUCCUCCCAAGCAAUCCUUCCUUCUUCCCCCGAGGGCAGAACUGCUCACCUGUCCUGGAGAUCGCUCUCCUACCAGGUGCGACACUGCUCCUCUCUGAGGUAGCACCAAGGGGUGGGGUGGUGCGGCAUACAGAGAAAGACAGGAAGAUAACAUUUUUAUUUUCUUCUUUGUCCAGAUUUUCCCUCACUUAGCUCUGGAAAGCAGCACCAAGAGCUCUGAUUAUUACUGGAAAGGUCAUGAGAUGGGCUUCCAUCUGUCCAUCCUGUCCCUGACCUGGUCCCUGAUCAUGCCCAUCUGAGGGAGUCCAGAGGCACCUAACAUUUAUGGUCACUUCAUACUCAGAGUCUGCACAUUCUUUUCCUACUGAUGAUGUGGAAGAGACUUGGAAAUGUUCCUUUCCAGGAGAUGACUGAUACACAGAAAGAUGGGGUCAGAUGAGGCCACAAGACCAGAGCCAAAAUCUUACCCAACUCCUUCAGGCAACAUUGUGACUGUAGGACAUGCUGCACUGAUACAGGAGUGGUCUUGGAACUACCCAGGUUCUACCAUUGAUAGGCAGUGUCAAGGUCCAGCCUUUCUGGGUCCCUCAGGCAGGUGAGGCGAGCCUGCAGGCAUGCUGUGGACCGCUGCAACUUGCUAGUCCCAGGGUCACAGCAAGUGGAAGUGCCGGGCACCACACAUGGCUUUGAGCAAAACCCACUUCCUCCAUCCCGGAGAGCAUGAAGCCGUUACACCACCAUCAAUCAAGGGGAACCCACGGGCUGCGCUCACACCGUUGAAGCAGGCGCCGGGCUGCGCUAUUUUGUGUUUCUUUCUUUUUUUUUUCUUUUCUUUCUUUUUUUUAAAUUCUGAAGCCAGACUGUCUUGCCUCCCAGCACCGGGGCUGCUUCGCCGUGGGCACGCCGAGCCUCCCGGUUACCUGCGUGGCUCCUGCGGCAUCUCCUGCCUGGGCUUCGCCAUAGUGCACUGGACCCGGACUCGCGAGUCUGCACCCAGCACAAGGAGGACCUGCUGGUGGAGCUCUGGCCAGGGUCUCCUCUCACCUGCUUGAGGGGACUUGGGAGCCAGGGCAAAGCUGCGGACAUCUCAGGGAGGGAUGGUAGAGGACGCAGAGGACCAGGAUGGGGAUGUUAGGAAUCCUAUGUUACCAAUGCCACCGGUGCUCUGCAGGGAGAGGACAGCUGCCUGCACCCAGCUCCGGCUGCUCUUAGGGAGUAAUCUGGAAAGACAAGCCAGGCUGAGGUGUGGUGGCCUUUCACCUGAGAGUGGAGCUGAAGAUGGAUAAACAAGGUAUCUGAUGUAUCUGCCUGGCAAGGCGGAGUUGGAGAAAAGCAGAGAGGAAUGCGUGAAGAGAAAGGAGAUGCUGACUGCUGUGUGAUUGCUGCUCACUCUGCGUUCUUAUUCUAGGGAAAAUGGCAUAAUUUAUAAGCCAGUACAUGGAUGGAGGAACUGUAAAUUGUAGUCUGGAUGUCCCCGGUGCUGUCAGAGAAGAAACUGAUGGGCUGGGUGGCUGUACUGUGUCCCCAGAGAAAACAGCUUUGCAGCAUGGAUUUAAAUGCAUGUGCGUGCAUGUAGAGACAUGGGGUGGGGAAGCGAUUUCUGACCAUUUUACACAGGAAGUCUGUCACUCUGCUGGAUCGGGUGUGAUUGCAGCUUGUGUUUUCAGUGCCAGCUUGACACCCAUCUCCUGACCAGCCAGAAAGCUCGGCCAAAGCAGCUGCAACCCGCCUCACUUUUAACUCCUUGAAGCUCUGUGCUCUGUGUGGUGCUAGGACUGAUGGAGUGGUUUUUGUUUUCUUCUUCCUCUUCUUCUACAAAUCCCUGUAAACACAGCUGUAUUCAGUAUGGAAAAAAAAUUUCUAGCCUGUAAAUAGAAAUGUGAUCAAUUUAAUCAAAAUAAAUAUAUACCAGAUGACUUCGACACCAGCUGGCUACCACAGGCUUCAGAUGCAGACUGCUCGGUAGAGAUGAACACAGCGUUAUAUUUACAUGUUUUAGAAUGCCAGGAUUAGCCUAUAAUUAAAGAAAGCAAGCCUCUUAUGAGGAAGAGAGGUGGUCCUUCCAGCUCACAGCUAGAUGGUUAGGCACAGGUGCGGAUGGCUGCCCUUCAUGUGACUGGGACGCAUGUGGUGUGGCGUUUCAGAGGGCUUGUGCCACAAGGCAGAGCAUGGCUGCCGUCAGCGUGGAGAAAGCUUGGCUCUGAGUUGCUGCUGUAGAAAGCUGAGCCUCUGCACAGUCUCUAGCGAGGCGGGGGAAAGUCACUCAGGCUUGUAGAUUCCAAACAGGGAGCUGCAGUGCCCUGUCCCAGCCUGGUGGAGUGUCACCACCCACCUGAGACAGAAAAGCUUUCGCAGUUGUCAUGGGGAGCUCAUUGGGGAUGCCUGUCUGGCCUCUCCACUGUUUGUUACCAAUUCUACAAAGGCAGUUCUGUGCUUUGGAUUUUGUUUGGCCAGCUGUUGGUGCAUUCCUGCGGGCGGGGUGGACGAGGAUCUUGUUACUGUACUUCCAAACUGUAGAUCUGUGUGCAGGCAGAGGAGGGAGGGAAGGAAAGAAGCCAGAGAGAGAGAGAAUCUGAUCGUUCAGAUGCCUUUCUCCAGAUAGUCCUAGAGUGAAUCGAGAAAGGCUUUAAAGUGAAAAGAAAGACAGAGCAAGAAGGGGACGAGAAAGGGACAAGGGAGAGAAGGAAACCGAGCAAGCCCAAAAGAGAAAAACAGAACUUCAAAGCUGCAUAGACAAGCACAAUGUCAGCAGCUUGUAAUUAGUGGUUCCUGGUUGCGUCAGUGACUACAUCUCUCCAAGAAUAACUCUGUGAUGUGUGCCACAAAGUGAAGAAGAUAGUCAUAACUAAAUUAUCAAACAGUUCAAACCAGGGCACAUGGAUUAAGGAGUUUUCUGUGUUUGUAAAUCAAAUAUGGAUGGAUUACAUGUACAGGAUUUGCUGAAUUCUGCACAACUGAAAGCUGAAUUAGCAAUGUGUGUGUGGAUAUGAGGGGUUUGUUUACUAGAUGAAAUGGGGAACUCUAAAGAUUUUUUUGUGCAAGCUCUAUCAGUGUACGAUAUUUCUCCAACUGGCCCCCCAACUGCACUGUCUGUCUCCUAUCUCUGCAUCCACAGAUUGCUUUUGUUUAUUCUUGUGCAUUUCAAUGGAGAUAAGUCAAAAGCUACAUUUGAGUAAAUAUGGACAAUGAGGUCUAAAACUCCCAUUUCAGAUUGCAAAAAUGACUACAGGGUUCUGAGUUUCAUUGGUAGCUCCAGCUUAAACCUUGAAAGAACUUUCGUUGUCCAGAAGCCAAACAGCAGUCUGUUAGUAAUUCUGGGGCAAGGCAGGGUAUUGUGGUUGUUGAGAUUUGAAGGCCACGUUCACAACCGUCCCUUGUCUCUUGUGCUUAGAGGUGUGGUGCUCUGAUAGCCUCUGCAGGAAUACAAUGGGAGGAGCUGAUUGGCUGGAAGGUUUAGGAUGUUUACUUGUAUUUGUUUUCACUGCCCCUCCAUGGCAUUCAUUGUGUAUUUGUAUUUGUGUUCAUGCUGCACAAUUACUCCUGACUGCUCUGUUUCUCUGCCCAAAGAGAAGUCAAUUUUAGUUCAGCU